rnacentral:rRNA from 1 species
UACGUAGGGUGCAAGCGUUGUCCGGAAUUAUUGGGCGUAAAGAGCUCGUAGGCGGUCUGUCGCGUCGGAUGUGAAAACUCGGGGCUCAACCCCGAGCCUGCAUUCGAUACGGGCAGACUAGAGUUCGGUAGGGGAGACUGGAAUUCCUGGUGUAGCGGUGAAAUGCGCAGAUAUCAGGAAGAACACCAAUGGCGAAGGCAGCUCUCUGGGACGGUACUGACGCUGAGACGCGAAAGCGUGGGGAGCGAACAGG